UCCUACGGGGGGCAGCAGUGGGGAAUAUUGGGCAAUGGGCGCAAGCCUGACCCAGCAACGCCGCGUGAAGGAAGAAGGCUUUCGGGUUGCAAACUUCUUUUGUCAGGGACGAAGCAAGUGACGGUACCUGACGAAUAAGCCACGGCUAACUACGUGCCAGCAGCCGCGGUAAUACGUAGGUGGCAAGCGUUAUCCGGAUUUACUGGGUGUAAAGGGAGCGUAGACGGCGAUGCAAGCCAGAUGUGAAAGCCCGGGGCUCAACCCCGGGACUGCAUUUGGAACUGUAUAGCUAGAGUGUCG
rnacentral:rRNA from 1 species